rnacentral:rRNA from 1 species
GGGGAAUUUUCCGCAAUGGGCGAAAGCCUGACGGAGCAACGCCGCGUGAGGGAUGAAGGCCUCUGGGCUGUAAACCUCUUUUCUCAAGGAAGAAGAACUGACGGUACUUGAGGAAUAAGCCACGGNCUAAUUCCGUGCCAGCAGCCGCAGUAAUACGGGAGUGGCAAGCGUUAUCCGGAAUUAUUGGGCGUAAAGCGUCCGCAGGCGGUCUUGAAAGUCUGUUGUUAAAGCGUGGAGCUUAACUCCAUUUCAGCAAUGGAAACUUCAAGACUAGAGUGUGGUAGGGGCAGAGGGAAUUCCCGGUGUAGCGGUGAAAUGCGUAGAUAUCGGGAAGAACACCAGUGGCGAAGGCGCUCUGCUGGGCCAUAACUGACGCUCAUGGACGAAAGCCAGGGGAGCGAAAGGGAUUAGAUACCCCUGUAGUC